UACGGGGGGGGCAAGCGUUGUUCGGAAUUACUGGGCGUAAAGGGUCCGUAGGUGGCUCGCUAAGUCAGACGUGAAAUCCCUCGGCUUAACCGGGAACUGCGUCUGAGACUGAUGAGCUUGAGUGCAGGAGAGGAACGCGGAAUUCCAGGUGUAGCGGUGAAAUGCGUAGAUAUCUGAAGGAACACCGGUGGCGAAGGCGGCGUUCUGGACUGCAACUGACACUGAAAGACGAAAGCCAGGGGAGCAAACGGG
rnacentral:rRNA from 1 species